rnacentral:lncRNA from 1 species
ACCAAAGCAUUUAGAGCAAAUCUGACAUGGGGGUAAAUUUGUUUAUCAGGUCGAGAUCUAUCUGCCCUGAAAUUUUCAGAUGAAUCGGACAUUUCGUUGUUGGGUUACUGCCCCUGAAAUGGUAAUUUUAAGGAAAUUUUGCUGUUUUUGGUUAUUAUCUUGAAUAUUAUUAUAGAUAGAGAUAAACUGUAAACAGCAAUAAUGUUCAGCAAAGUAAGAUCUACAAAUAAGUCACAUGACCAAAAUGGUCAGUUGACCACUUUAGGAGUUAUUGCCCUUUAUAUUAAAUUUUUAACCAUUUUUCGUAAAUCUUAGUAAUCUUUUAGAAAAAUCUUCUCCUCUGAAACUACUGGGCCAAAUUUAACCAAACUUAGCCAUAAUCAUUAUUGGGGUAUCUAGUUAAAAAAAUGUGUCCGGUAACUGGGCCAUCAAACCAAGAUGGCCACCUAUGGCUAAAAAUAGAACAUAGGGGUAAAAUGCAGUUUUUGGCUUAUAACUCAAAAACCAAAGCAUUAAGAGCAAAUCUGACAGGAAGUAAAAUUGUUGAUCAGGUCACGAUCUAUCUGCCCUGGAAUUUUCAGAUGAAUCGGAUAAUCGGUUGUUAGGUUGCUGCCCCUGAAUUGGUAAUUUUGAGGAAAUUUUGCUGUUUUUUUGUUAUUAUCUUGAAUAUUAUUAUAGAUAGAGAUAAACUGUAAACAGCAAUAAUGUACAGCAAAUUAAGAACUAAAAAUAAGUCAGUAUGACCAAAAUAGUCAAUUGACCCCCUAAGGAGUUAUUGCCCUUAAUAGUCAAUUUUUAACAAUUUUCUUAAAAUUUGAAGAUUUUCAAUAACAUUUUCCACAGAAAGUACUGUUAUAGAUAGAGAUAAUUGUAAGCAGCAAGAAUGUUUAGUAAAGUAAGAUCUACAAACACAUCACCAUCACCAAAACACAAUUUUGUCAUGAAUCCAUCUGUGUCCAUUGUUUAAUAUUCACAUAGACCAAGGUGAGCGACAC